GCGUCAGUGAUGCAACUGGUUAGAGCGUGCACUUCCGGAUAUGGUGAAAUGCGGUUUCGAGUUCCGCCUGACGCA